GCCCUUUAGACUGGGAUAACAGAGGGAAACUUCUGAUAAUACUGGAUAAGUUAGUAUAUCGCAUGAUAUGCAAAUGAAAGCUACGGCACUAAAGGAGAGCUUUGCGUCCUAUUAGCUAGUUGGUAAGGUAAGAGCUUACCAAGGCGAUGAUAGGUAGCCGGCCUGAGAGGGUGGACGGCCACAAGGGGACUGAGAUACGGCCCUUACUCCUACGGGAGGCAGCAGGA
rnacentral:rRNA from 1 species